ensembl:snoRNA SNORD115 Small nucleolar RNA SNORD115
GGGUCAAUAAUGAGAAUUCAUAUGGUCAUGAACAGAGAUGAUGACUUAAAAAUUAUGCUCAAUAGGAUUCUGCAGAAGCCC